rnacentral:misc_RNA from 1 species
AGAAAAGGAUAGCAUAUGAAAUGCCUUUUGCAUACUUCAGUAGGCAGUGGAAAUCCCAUGUCAUUGUAUCAGCAACAACAUAGGAACAAAAGACAAGGCUCCUAAAUCAACAUUUACAAAUUCUCAGAUUUGGUCAACACAAGUGAAGAGAACUGGCUAUAACAUGCAAAUAAAGCUGGCUAUCCAAACAUCAAACUAUUAUCACAAUGAUAAAAACUGAAUGCUGGUUCUUGAAUUUCUUGGCACUUAAGAAUAAUUCCUAAAGCAGUUUGAAUUUCCCCCCGUCACGCCACAAUUACCGCGCCAUUGUUGGUUUCACUAUGCAUCGUUGACUCCAUUAGCUUUAGCAGUGCUGUUGUGCUUCUGAGCUUCUUCUCCAUCCUCUGGGAUGUUAGAAGUCCAUAAGGUGAGAUUGUCCCUCAAAAGCUGCAUGAUCAAUGUGCUAUCUUUGUAAGAUUCCUCACUCAAAGCAUCCAGCUCAGAGAUAGCUUCAUCAAAAGCUUGUUUGGCAAGGUGACAGGCCCUUUCAGGGGAGUUCAAGAUUUCAUAGUAGAAAACUGAGUAGUUCAAGGCCAAACCUAGCCGGACAGGAUGUGUUGGAGGUAACUCUGCUUCUGCUUUACUAGAAGCUGUCUGAUAUGCCUUCAUUGAUUGGUCAGCAACUUCUUUUUUCUCAUCCCCCGUCUUGAACUCUGCCCAAUACCGAUAAUAAUCUCCUUUCAUCUUAUAAUA